GAUGAACGCUAGCUACAGGCUUAACACAUGCAAGUCGAGGGGCAGCAUGAAAGGAACUUCGGUUCUUUUUGAUGGCGACCGGCGCACGGGUGCGUAACGCGUAUCGAACCUGCCUCAUACUCGGGGAUAGCCUUGCGAAAGUAAGAUUAAUACCCGGCGGUCUCGGAUGGCCGCAUGACUAUCCGAGUGAAGAUUUAUCGGUAUGAGAUGGCGAUGCGUCCCAUUAGCUAGUUGGUGAGGUAACGGCUCACCAAGGCAUCGAUGGGUAGGGGUUCUGAGAGGAAGGUCCCCCACAUUGGAACUGAGACACGGUCCAAACUCCUACGGGAGGCAGCAGUGAGGAAUAUUGGUCAAUGGGCGAGAGCCUGAACCAGCCAAGUAGCGUGAAGGAUGACUGCCCUAUGGGUUGUAAACUUCUUUUAUAAAGGAAUAAAGUCGGGUAUGCAUACCCGUUUGCAUGUACUUUAUGAAUAAGGAUCGGCUAACUCCGUGCCAGCAGCCGCGGUAAUACGGAGGAUCCGAGCGUUAUCCGGAUUUAUUGGGUUUAAAGGGAGCGUAGAUGGAUGUUUAAGUCAGUUGUGAAAGUUUGCGGCUCAACCGUAAAAUUGCAGUUGAUACUGGAUAUCUUGAGUGCAGUUGAGGCAGGCGGAAUUCGUGGUGUAGCGGUGAAAUGCUUAGAUAUCACGAAGAACUCCGAUUGCGAAGGCAGCCUGCUAAGCUGCAACUGACAUUGAGGCUCGAAAGUGU
rnacentral:rRNA from 1 species